rnacentral:rRNA from 1 species
GCUGGAAUGCCUCUUUACUUAAACCUCCGGGGCCCGAGGAUGGGUCUGCGGCGGAUUAUGGUAGUAGGUGGGGUAACGGCCCACCUAGCCGGUGAUCCGUACCGGACAUGAAAGUGUGUGCCGGGAGAUGGCCACUGAGACAAGGGGCCAGGCCCUACGGGGUGCAGCAGGCGCGAAAACUCUGCAAUGCUCUCACGAGUGACAGGGGAAUCCCGAGUGCUUCCUUAGCCGGAAGCUUUUCUCGAGUGUAAAUAGCUCGGGGAAUAAGGGGAGGGCAAGGCUGGUGCCAGCCGCCGCGGUAAAACCAGCUCCCCGAGUGGUCAGGAUGUUUAUUGGGCCUAAAGCGUCCGUAGCCGGGCACGCAAGUCGUUGGUUAAAGCCCGGGUCUCAAGCCCGAAAAUGCCAGCGAUACUACGCGCCUUGGGACCGGAAGAGGCAGAUGGUACGUUAGGGGUAGGGGUGAAAUCCUGUAAUCCUUAACGGACCACCGGUGGCGAAGGCGAUCUGCUGGAACGGAUCCGACGGUGAGGGACGAAACCCAGGGGAGCGAGCGGGAUUAGAUACCCCGGUAGUCCUGGGCGUAAACGAUGCGCGCU